rnacentral:rRNA from 1 species
AUGGGGUGCAGCAGGCGAGAAAACUUUGCAAUGUGCGAAAGCACGACAAGGUUAGUCCGAGUGAUUUCUGCUAAAGAGAUCUUUUGCUAGUUAUAAAACCACUAGUGAAUAAGGGGUGGGCAAGUUCUGGUGUCAGCCGCCGCGGUAAAACCAGCACCUCAAGUGGUCAGGAUGAUUAUUGGGCCUAAAGCAUCCGUAGCCGGCUCUGUAAGUUUUCGGUUAAAUCUAUGCGCUCAACGUAUGGGCUGCCGAAAAUACUGUAGAGAUAGGGAGUGGGAGAGGUAGACGGCACUCGGUAGGAAGGGGUAAAAUCCUUUGAUCUAUCGAUGACCACCUGUGGCGAAGGCGGUCUACCAGAACACGUUCGACGGUGAGGGAUGAAAGCUGGGGGAGCAAACCGGAUUAGAUACCCGGGUAGUCCCAGCUGUAAACGAUGCAGACUCGAUGAUGCAUUGGCAUAUAGCCAGUGCAGUGUCGCAGGGAAGCCGUUAAGUCUGCCGCCUGGGAAGUACGUACGCAAGUAUGAAACUUAAAGGAAUUNNNGGGGGAGCAC